rnacentral:rRNA from 1 species
GACGGGGGAUGCGAGCGUUAUCCGGAAUUAUUGGGCGUAAAGCGUCCGCAGGUGGCUGUUCAAGUCUGCUGUCAAAGCGCAGAGCUUAACUCUGUACAGGCGGUGGAAACUGAAGAGCUAGAGUAUGGUAGGGGUAGAGGGAAUUCCCGGUGUAGCGGUGAAAUGCGUAGAUAUCGGGAAGAACACCAGUGGCGAAAGCGCUCUACUGGGCCGUAACUGACACUGAGGGACGAAAGCUAGGGGAGCGAAAGGG